rnacentral:tRNA from 2 species
CAAAAUGUAGCUUAAUUAAAGCAUUUCGCUUACACCGAAAUUAUGCCUGUUAAAUCAGACCAAUUUGA